rnacentral:misc_RNA from 1 species
CACUUCAUCGAGGCACCAAAAGAAAUGGUGGAUGAAGAACACCCUUUGCUUUUCAAGCCAUUUGAAAUUCUUGGAUUACUUGGGUAUGGUGCCACAGAAGCUGGCUAUACAACUCCUCCCAGUGAUCUUUUCAAGGCAUAUUGCGGUGUCUGAUAUGCUAAUUGCGAAUUUCCAUUUCUAUUAGAAUAAAGUUAGUAUUUAUGAGAUUUUUGUUGGUAAUUCAUGUUUAAUUGGUUUGUGUUUUUUUGGAAAAUAUUUCUAAUGUGUUCCGUUGGAAAUUCGUGUGCAUCUUAUGUUUGGAUUGUUGGUAUUGGGAAUUCAUGUUUAAUUUGUUUGUGUUUUUUUUUUUUUGAGAAAAUAUUGCAUUGGGUUUCAUUGGAAAUUUGUGUUUUUUAAAAAGUAGUGUGCAUCUUAUGUUUGGAUUGUUGGUAUUGGGAAUUCAUGUUUAAUUUGUUUGUGUUUUUUUUUUUUUGAGAAAAUAUUGCAUUGGGUUUCAUUGGAAAUUUGUGUUUUUUAAAAAGUA